AAACCAGCUCCGCCCGCCGUAGCAGAGGACAGGCCCCGUUCGUGGCCUCCCCUCCCCUCCGCCCGGGUGCGACCUUCCCUGCGCUCUGGCGCGGCCUGCCCUCCCCUCUGGUGCGACCUGCUCUCUGUUUGCAGGAAAAAUAAAAGAAACCGCUUUCUACAUGCAAAAGGGCAUCAAAUUUUGGAAGAAGUAUGGCGUUGAAUGGAAAAAAUGAGGAAAAAAAGGAUCCUCAAGCAAAUCAAGCAAUGGAAAUCUUCCUUGGUGGAGCUAGUAAUGCAAAGCUGCAAAGCUUCAGUUUUAUGUAAUCUUGGCUAAAUUGUGAUAAUUUUAUGUUGCUGUGAACCUCUGCUGUAUUGUUAAGAUUGAACUUUU